rnacentral:misc_RNA from 1 species
GAUGAAGAACGUAGCGAAAUGCGAUAAGUAAUGUGAAUUGCAGAAUUCAGUGAAUCAUCGAAUCUUUGAACGCACAUUGCGCCCGCCAGUAUUCUGGCGGGCAUGCCUGUUCGAGCGUCAUUUCAACCAUCAAGCCCCCGGGCUUGUGUUGGGGACCUGCGGCUGCCGUAGGCCCUGAAAAGCAGUGGCGGGCUCGCUGUCACACCGAGCGUAGUAGAUUUUAUCUCGCUCAGGGCGUGCUGCGGGUUCCGGCCGUUAAACCACCUUCAUAACCCAAGGUUGACCUCGGAUCAGGUAGGAAGACCCGCUGAACUUAAGCAUAUCAAUAAGCGGAGGA